rnacentral:miRNA from 2 species
UAAUCUCAGCUGGCAAUCUGUGA